GACGAACGCUGGCGGCGUGCCUAAUACAUGCAAGUCGAACGCAUUUUCUUUCACCGUAGCUUGCUACACCGACAGAAAAUGAGUGGCGAACGGGUGAGUAACACGUGGGUAACCUGCCCAUCAGCGGGGGAUAACACUUGGAAACAGGUGCUAAUACCGCAUAAUUCCAUUUACUGCAUGGUAGAUGGAUGAAAGGCGCUUUUGCGUCACUGAUGGAUGGACCCGCGGUGCAUUAGCUAGUUGGUGGGGUAACGGCCUACCAAGGCUGCGAUGCAUAGCCGACCUGAGAGGGUGAUCGGCCACACUGGGACUGAGACACGACCCAGACUCCUACGGGAGGCAGCAGUAGGGAAUCUUCGGCAAUGGACGCAAGUCUGACCGAGCAACGCCGCGUGAGUGAAGAAGGUUUUCGGAUCGUAAAACUCUGUUGUUAGAAAAGAACAAGGAUGAGAGUGGAAAGUUCAUCCCUUGACGGUAUCUAACCAGAAAGCCACGGCUAACUACGUG
rnacentral:rRNA from 1 species